CUCAUUAAGACAGAAACUAUCAGCAGCAGCACACAAAAUCAUACGCAAGAUUAUAAAGUUCAUCAUCAACAUCGUUCAGUCAAAUGGGAUAAAAGGUUGCAAAAGAAGACUCCCCAUGAUCAACAGUUAUGGGGAGUUUCAGUCUGCACCGAAAUACGCCCGUUCCUUCAGUGUGAAUCCCAACCUUACCACUUCCCCCCUACAAGAGAUCCCUUCAUUGCAAGAGCUGGAUGUGUCACCAGUUGACGUGUACUCAAAUGGCUUGAUCAUCUCUGACAUAACCCACUUGCUGGAUCCCACACC